GACGAACGCUGGCGGCGUGCCUAAUACAUGCAAGUAGAACGCACAGUUUAUACCGUAGCUUGCUACACCAUAAACUGUGAGUUGCGAACGGGUGAGUAACGCGUAGGUAACCUGCCUGGUAGCGGGGGAUAACUAUUGGAAACGAUAGCUAAUACCGCAUAAUAUUAAUUAUUGCAUGAUAAUUGAUUGAAAGAUGCAAUUGCAUCACUACCAGAUGGACCUGCGUUGUAUUAGCUAGUAGGUGAGGUAACGGCUCACCUAGGCGACGAUACAUAGCCGACCUGAGAGGGUGAUCGGCCACACUGGGACUGAGACACGGCCCAGACUCCUACGGGAGGCAGCAGUAGGGAAUCUUCGGCAUGGACGAAAGUCUGACCGAGCAACGCCGCGUGAGUGAAGAAGGUUUUCGGAUCGUAAAGCUCUGUUGUAAGAGAAGAACGGGUGUGAGAGUGGAAAGUUCACACUGUGACGGUAUCUUACCAGAAAGGGACGGCUAACUACGUG
rnacentral:rRNA from 1 species